rfam:Triticum aestivum genome assembly, contig: Triticum_aestivum_CS42_TGACv1_scaffold_641452_T_3AS-0.113738_2AS-0.068708
AUUAUACUCCCUCCGUCCGAAAAUACUUGUCAUCAAAAUGGACAAAAAGGCAUGUAUCUAAAACUAAAAUACAUCUAGAUACAUCCCUUUUAUCCAUUUUGAUGACAAGUAUUUCCGGACGGAGGGAGUAUAUA